AGUGUUCAUGCUCUCUAGCAUUGCUAAACAAUAAUUACCUUCACUUGAGAAUUAAGAGAUACAAUGACUUUGAUAAUUCGCCUAUUGGUAAUCUGUGAGUACAAUAAUUAAAGUUUACGCCAUGCAGUCGAAUGCUUCAUUUUGGGUUUCAAUAAUGACGAGGAUGGGACACAGAAGCACGCUGCUGUUUUCAAUUACAAACGUUCCACAAUCAAAGAAAAGAAAACGCAGUUAUAUAAACUCAUUCUCGUGCAUGAAAGUCAGCCUAAUCCAUAAACUUAUGACUGAAAAGGAAAGCUCUUGAAAUGAUGAUCUGCCAACUGACUUGAUCAUUCCUUUGGUCUUAAUAUUCUGGUUUACGAG